GAACCAGUACCGUGAGGGAAAGGCGAAAAGAACCCCGGCGAGGGGAGUGAAAAAGAACCUGAAACCGUGUACGUACAAGCAGUGGGAGCACCCUUCGGGGUGUGACUGCGUACCUUUUGUAUAAUGGGUCAGCGACUUAUAUUCUGUAGCAAGGUUAACCGAAUAGGGGAGCCGGAGGGAAACCGAGUCUUAAUUGGGCGUUAAGUUGCAGGGUAUAGACCCGAAACCCGGUGAUCUAGCCAUGGGCAGGUUGAAGGUUGGGUAACACUAACUGGAGGACCGAACCGACUAAUGUUGAAAAAUUAGCGGAUGACCUGUGGCUGGGGGUGAAAGGCCAAUCAAACCGGGAGAUAGCUGGUUCUCCCCGAAAGCUAUUUAGGUAGCGCCUCGUGAAUUCAUCUCCGGGGGUAGAGCACUGUUUCGGCUAGGGGGCCAUCCCGGCUUACCAACCCGAUGCAAACUGCGAAUACCGGAGAAUGUUAUCACGGGAGACACACGGCGGGUGCUAACGUCCGUCGUGAAGAGGGAAACAACCCAGACCGCCAGCUAAGGUCCCAAAGUCAUGGUUAAGUGGGAAACGAUGUGGGAAGGCCCAGACAGCCAGGAUGUUGGCUUAGAAGCAGCCAUCAUUUAAAGAAAGCGUAAUAGCUCACUGGUCGAGUCGGCCUGCGCGGAAGAUGUAACGGGGCUAAACCAUGCACCGAAGCUGCGGCAGCGAACGUAUCACUUAAAGCGAUUCAGCGGGUUACGAUUGACGGAGCGAAGCGACGUCAAAGCGUAUACAAAGUCGAGUCGGUUUAAGGAUACGUUCGUUGGGUAGGGGAGCGUUCUGUAAGCCUGUGAAGGUGGCCUGUGAGGGUUGCUGGAGGUAUCAGAAGUGCGAAUGCUGACAUAAGUAACGAUAAAGCGGGUGAAAAGCCCGCUCGCCGGAAGACCAAGGGUUCCUGUCCAACGUUAAUCGGGGCAGGGUGAGUCGACCCCUAAGGCGAGGCCGAAAGGCGUAGUCGAUGGGAAACGGGUUAAUAUUCCCGUACUUGGUGUUACUGCGAAGGGGGGACGGAGAAGGCUAUGUUGGCCGGGCGACGGUUGUCCCGGUUUAAGCGUGUAGGUGUGUGUUCCAGGUAAAUCCGGUUCACUUUAACACUGAGGCGUGAUGACGAGGCACUACGGUGCUGAAGCAACAAAUGCCCUGCUUCCAGGAAAAGCCUCUAAGCAUCAGGUAACAUCAAAUCGUACCCCAAACCGACACAGGUGGUCAGGUAGAGAAUACCAAGGCGCUUGAGAGAACUCGGGUGAAGGAACUAGGCAAAAUGGUGCCGUAACUUCGGGAGAAGGCACGCUGACACGUAGGUGAAGUGAUUUACUCACGGAGCUGAAGUCAGUCGAAGAUACCAGCUGGCUGCAACUGUUUAUUAAAAACACAGCACUGUGCAAACACGAAAGUGGACGUAUACGGUGUGACGCCUGCCCGGUGCCGGAAGGUUAAUUGAUGGGGUCAGCGCAAGCGAAGCUCCUGAUCGAAGCCCCGGUAAACGGCGGCCGUAACUAUAACGGUCCUAAGGUAGCGAAAUUCCUUGUCGGGUAAGUUCCGACCUGCACGAAUGGCGUAAUGAUGGCCAGGCUGUCUCCACCCGAGACUCAGUGAAAUUGAACUCGCUGUGAAGAUGCAGUGUACCCGCGGCAAGACGGAAAGACCCCGUGAACCUUUACUAUAGCUUGACACUGAACAUUGAGCCUUGAUGUGUAGGAUAGGUGGGAGGCUUUGAAGCGUGGACGCCAGUCUGCGUGGAGCCGACCUUGAAAUACCACCCUUUAAUGUUUGAUGUUCUAACGUGGACCCGUAAUCCGGGUUGCGGACAGUGUCUGGUGGGUAGUUUGACUGGGGCGGUCUCCUCCUAAAGAGUAACGGAGGAGCACGAAGGUUGGCUAAUCCUGGUCGGACAUCAGGAGGUUAGUGCAAUGGCAUAAGCCAGCUUGACUGCGAGCGUGACGGCGCGAGCAGGUGCGAAAGCAGGUCAUAGUGAUCCGGUGGUUCUGAAUGGAAGGGCCAUCGCUCAACGGAUAAAAGGUACUCCGGGGAUAACAGGCUGAUACCGCCCAAGAGUUCAUAUCGACGGCGGUGUUUGGCACCUCGAUGUCGGCUCAUCACAUCCUGGGGCUGAAGUAGGUCCCAAGGGUAUGGCUGUUCGCCAUUUAAAGUGGUACGCGAGCUGGGUUUAGAACGUCGUGAGACAGUUCGGUCCCUAUCUGCCGUGGGCGCUGGAGAACUGAGGGGGGCUGCUCCUAGUACGAGAGGACCGGAGUGGACGCAUCACUGGUGUUCGGGUUGUCAUGCCAAUGGCACUGCCCGGUAGCUAAAUGCGGAAGAGAUAAGUGCUGAAAGCAUCUAAGCACGAAACUUGCCCCGAGAUGAGUUCUCCCUGAGACUUAGAGUCUCCUGAAGGAACGUUGAAGACGACGACGUUGAUAGGCCGGGUGUGUAAGCGCAGCGAUGCGUUGAGCUAACCGGUACUAAUGAACCGUGAGGCUUAACCUUACAACGCCGAAG
rnacentral:rRNA from 1 species